rnacentral:rRNA from 1 species
UACCACUUGGAAACAGGUGCUAAUACCGGAUAAGAAAGCGGAUCGCAUGAUCAGCUUUUAAAAGGCGGCGUAAGCUGUCGCUAUGGGAUGGCCCCGCGGUGCAUUAGCUAGUUGGUAAGGUAAAGGCUUACCAAGGCGAUGAUGCAUAGCCGAGUUGAGAGACUGAUCGGCCACAUUGGGACUGAGACACGGCCCAAACUCCUACGGGAGGCAGCAGCC